CAAUAGCGUAUAUUAAAGUUGUUGCAGUUAAAAAGCUCGUAGUUGGAUUUCUGAUCGAGACAUCAGGUCGGGUCCGAGAGGAUCAUGUACUUUGAUCUUGUUUUGAUCAUCCUUGGGGAGAGCAUUUCUGGCAUUCAGUUGUCGGGAUUGGGAUCCUCAUCGUUUACUGUGAAAAAAUUAGAGUGUUCAAAGCAGGCCUCGGCCUCUGAAUACAUUAGCAUGGAAUAAUAAGAUAGGACUUUGGUGGUCUAUUUUGUUGGUUUGCACGCCAAAGUAAUGAUUAAUAGGGAUAGUUGGGGGUAUUCGUAUUCAAUUGUCAGAGGUGAAAUUCUUGGAUUUAUGGAAGACGAACUACUGCGAAAGCAUUUACCAAGGAUGUUUUCAUUAA
rnacentral:rRNA from 1 species